rnacentral:rRNA from 1 species
GCGGGGACCACCCCGUAAGGCUAAAUACUCCUUAGUGACCGAUAGCGCAUAGUACUGUGAAGGAAAGGUGAAAAGGACCCCGGGAGGGGAGUGAAAGAGAACCUGAAACCAUAUGUUUACAAGCUGUGGAACAUCUUUAUAUGAUGAACCGCGUACUUUUUGUAGAACGGUCCGGCGAGUUACGCUGGCUGGCGAGGUUAAGGGCUGAAGGCCUGGAGCCGAAGGGAAACCGAGUCUGAACAGGGCGAAAUAGUCAGUCGGAGUAGACCCGAAACCGGGUGAUCUAUCCAUGUCCAGGUUGAAGUUGCCGUAAAAGGCAAUGGAGGACCGAACCCACAUCCGUUGAAAAGGGUGGGGAUGAGGUGUGGAUAGGGGAGAAAUUCCAAUCGAACCCGGAGAUAGCUGGUUCUCCUCGAAAUAGCUUUAGGGCUAGCCUCAUGCAAGUCUUACGGAGGUAGAGCACUGAAUUCCUAAGGGGGCGUCAAAGCUUACCAAGGGAUAUCAAACUCCGAAUGCCGUGUAGAUGGUGCAUGGGAGUCAGACUAUCCGAGAUAAGUUGGGUAGUCAAAAGGGAAAGAGCCCAGACCUACAGCUAAGGUCCCAAAAUGUGUGUUAAGUGGAAAAGGAUGUGGGAUUUCGAAGACAACUAGGAUGUUGGCUUAGAAGCAGCCAUCCAUUAAAAGAGUGCGUAAUAGCUCACUAGUCGAGAGGUCCUGCGCCGAAAAUGUCCGGGGCUGAAACACACUACCGAAGCUUGGGAAUUGACGAAUGUUAAUUGGUAGAGGAGCAUUCUUAACGGGGCGAAGCUGUACCGGAAGGAGCAGUGGACUGUUAAGAAGAGAGAAUGCCGGAAUGAGUAGCGAGAGGAAGGUGAGAAUCCUUCCGGCCGAAUAUCUAAGGUUUCCAGAGUAAAGCUGAUCUGCUCUGGGUAAGUCGGGGCCUAAGGCGAGGUCGAAAGACGUAGUCGAUGGAUAACAGGUAAAGAUUCCUGUACUAUAUCAUAACAGAACUGUGGGGACGCAGACAGAGAGCAUAAGCCGGGAAUGGAAAGACCGGUACAAGCGAGGUAGGAGUGCAUCAGGCAAAUCCGGUGCACAAUCUGAAGACGUGAUGUGGGGCGUAAAGCCGGAAGUAUGUGAGCUGGCUGCCAAGAAAAGCCGCUAUUGUUUAUGAUAUACCCGUACCGUAAACCGACACAGGUGGAUGAGGAGAGAAUCCUAAGGCCGACGGGAGAAGCAUUGUUAAGGAACUCGGCAAAAUGACUCCGUAACUUCGGGAGAAGGAGUGCCAUGUAAAAGUGGCCGCAGAGAAUUGGCCCAAGCAACUGUUUAGCAAAAACACAGGUCUAUGCAAAACCGAAAGGUGAGGUAUAUGGGCUGACGCCUGCCCGGUGCUGGAAGGUUAAGGGGAGAGGUUAGUCGUAAGGCGAAGCUUUGAACUUAAGCCCCAGUAAACGGCGGCCGUAACUAUAACGGUCCUAAGGUAGCGAAAUUCCUUGUCGGGUAAGUUCCGACCCGCACGAAAGGCGUAAUGAUUUGGGCACUGUCUCAACAAUGCACCCGGUGAAAUUGAAAUACCAGUGAAGAUGCUGGUUACCUGCGCCAGGACGGAAAGACCCCAUGGAGCUUUACUCCAGCUUGAUACUGGGAUUCGAUAUUGCAUGUACAGGAUAGGUGGGAGACUGAGAACUGAUGACGCCAGUUGUCAGGGAGUCACUGUUGGGAUACCACCCUUGUAGUAUUGGAUUUCUAACCAGCAGCCGUGAACCGGCUGGGGGACAAUGUCAGGUGGGGAGUUUGACUGGGGCGGUCGCCUCCGAAAGGGUAUCGGAGGCGCUCAAAGGUUCCCUCAGAAUGGUUGGAAACCAUUCGAAGAGUGCAAAGGCAGAAGGGAGCUUGACUGCGACACCGACGGGUGGAGCAGGUACGAAAGUAGGACUUAGUGAUCCGGUGGUAUAAAGUGGGAUUGCCAUCGCUCAACGGAUAAAAGCUACCCUGGGGAUAACAGGCUUAUCACUCCCAAGAGUUCACAUCGACGGAGUGGUUUGGCACCUCGAUGUCGGCUCAUCGCAUCCUGGGGCUGAAGUAGGUCCCAAGGGUUGGGCUGUUCGCCCAUUAAAGCGGUACGCGAGCUGGGUUCAGA